AGAAAAGGAGGCACAGAGAUGCAGAUGGAGAAUUCAGAGCAUGGAUUGCAGGCAAGUUCAGUGCAAUUCAAGCUCAAAUCCUAUAAAAGACUAUAUCCAAGAGUACCAGAAAAACAGCAUAGGAGCUGAAUUUCCUACAUUCGAACUACCACUCUUUACUUGAUCUUAGCCAAAAGGCUUAGAGAUGAUCUCUCCAAACCGCUCUUGUCAGAAUCUGCCUGGAGACAGGGUUUCACCAUGUUGGACAGGCUGAUCUCAAACUCCUGACCUCAAGUUGUCCACCUGCUUCAGCCUCCCAAAGUGCUGGGGUUACAAAGGUGAGCCACCGCACCUGGGCCCCUGCCAUCUUCUUUACCUUCUUUUUACUCUCUCAAUGUAUAGUUUUCUCCUUUCUAAUUAUUCGUAAUAGGAAUGUUUCAUAAUCUACAAAUAGUGAUUCUGUUAUGGUUUGGAUAUUUGACUUCUUCGUACCUCAUGUUGAAAUUUGAUCCCCAGUGUUGGAGGUGACGCCUGCGUGGAGGUGUUUGGGUC
rnacentral:lncRNA from 10 species